rnacentral:rRNA from 1 species
GCGCAGCAGUCGCGAAAACUCCGCAAUACGCGAAAGCGUGACGGGGCUACCCCGAGUGUCGUCCGCUGAGGACGACUUUUCCACGCUGUAAGGAGGCGUGGGAAUAAGGAGAGGGCAAGUCUGGUGUCAGCCGCCGCGGUAAUACCAGCUCUCCGAGUGGUAGGGACGAUUAUUGGGCUUAAAGCGUCCGUAGCCGGCUCAGCAAGUCUCCCGUUAAAUCCAACGAUUCAAUCGUUGAACUGCGGGAGAUACUGUUGAGCUAGGAGGCGGGAGAGGCCGACGGUAUUCCCGGAGUAGGGGUGAAAUCUUAUAAUUCCGGGAGGACCACCAGUGGCGAAGGCUGUCGGCUAGAACGCGCUCGACGGACUACCCGGGUAGUCC